GAUGAACGCUGGCGGCGUGCCUAAUACAUGCAAGUCGAGCGAACGGACGAGAAGCUUGCUUCUCUGAUGUUAGCGGCGGACGGGUGAGUAACACGUGGAUAACCUACCUAUAAGACUGGGAUAACUUCGGGAAACCGGAGCUAAUACCGGAUAAUAUUUUGAACCGCAUGGUUCAACAGUGAAAGACGGUCUUGCUGUCACUUAUAGAUGGAUCCGCGCUGCAUUAGCUAGUUGGUAAGGUAACGGCUUACCAGGGCGACGAUGCAUAGCCGACCUGAGAGGGUGAUCGGCCACACUGGAACUGAGACACGGUCCAGACUCCUACGGGAGGCAGCAGUAGGGAAUAUUCCACAAUGGGCGAAAGCCUGACGGAGCAACGCCGCGUGAGUGAUGAAGGUCUUCGGAUCGUAAAACUCUGUUAGUAGGGAAGAACAUAUGUGUAAGUAACUGUGCACAUCUUGACGGUACCUAAUCAGAAAGCCACGGCUAACUACGUG
rnacentral:rRNA from 1 species